rnacentral:rRNA from 1 species
AAAGCGUGCGCAGGCGGUUAUGCAAGACAGAUGUGAAAUCCCCGGGCUCAACCUGGGAACUGCAUUUGUGACUGCAUAGCUAGAGUACGGUAGAGGGGGAUGGAAUUCCGCGUGUAGCAGUGAAAUGCGUAGAUAUGCGGAGGAACACCGAUGGCGAAGGCAAUCCCCUGGACCUGUACUGACGCUCAUGCACGAAAGCGUGGGGAGCAAACAGGAUUAGAUACCCUUGU